rnacentral:lncRNA from 1 species
GUGAAAGUACUGUCAAAAGUGAAAACCAUCUCUAUCCGCAGAAGACAACGACAGACGCCCAUUAAAGGCAGAUGAUUCCUUGAAUCUUGCAUAGGGGAGCACUUUAUGCCCUUUUCAAUUGUUGUCCACUUCGGAUAAGUCUAGUACUGAAUUCCAGAAAAUGCAAAAAGUAUUAAUAGUAAUUAACAAUAAUAAAUAUUUGAUUUGUCUAACAGACAUGAUUACGAUCAUAAAAAAUAUAUGCAAGCGCAGCAAACAAUCGGAAAGAUCUUAAUUUUUAUCAUUAACAGUGUAAAAAAGAUGAACAGGGAACAGCAGCAUAUUAAUUCUGCUUUGAAACAUCAAAGGGCUGAGAAUUUCUUCAUAGGUGCUUCUUGUUUUUUAUUUUUAUUUUUUAUUUAUUUUUUUGUACAGAUUUAAAAANNN